rnacentral:rRNA from 1 species
CCAGUAGUCAUAUGCUUGUCUCAAAGAUUAAGCCAUGCAUGUCUCAGUACAAGCCAAAUUAAGGUGAAACCGCGAAAGGCUCAUUAAAUCAGUUAUGGUUCCUUAGAUCGUACCCACAUUUACUUGGAUAACUGUGGUAAUUCUAGAGCUAAUACAUGCAAACAGAGCUCCGACCGGAGACGGAAGGAGCGCUUUUAUUAGAUCAAAACCAAUCGGUGGCGGGUCUCCCGUCACCGUACACCUUGGUGACUCUGAAUAACUUAUUGCUGAUCGCACGGUCUCGCACCGGCGACGCAUCUUUCAAAUGUCUGCCUUAUCAACUGUCGAUGGUAGGUUCUGCGCCUACCAUGGUUGUAACGGGUAACGGGGAAUCAGGGUUCGAUUCCGGAGAGGGAGCCUGAGAAACGGCUACCACAUCCAAGGAAGGCAGCAGGCGCGCAAAUUACCCACUCCCGGCACGGGGAGGUAGUGACGAAAAAUAACGAUACGGGACUCAUCCGAGGCCCCGUAAUCGGAAUGAGUACACUCUAAACCCUUUAACGAGGAUCAAUUGGAGGGCAAGUCUGGUGCCAGCAGCCGCGGUAAUUCCAGCUCCAAUAGCGUAUAUUAAAGUU